rnacentral:lncRNA from 1 species
GCCGCCUUGGCCGGCCGGAAGCGGCGUCGCUAGCUGCGUAAGGUGUGUUGCGGGAGGGGGCGCUUGGCGGCCACGAUGCGGCGGGACCACGGAGCUCCGAGCGCAGCUCCGCUGCCGGCGGUGGGACCCUGGACCGAUUGUGAGCCAUGCCUUUAGUGAAGAGGAACAUUGAACCCCUGCACUUGUGCCAGGGUGCUCUGCUGGAAGGAAUUACCAGUGAACUUGAAUAUGUAACCAACAGUAAUCUUGCUGCAAUCAUAUGCCAGCUAAGCAGUCUGAAUUCAGAAAGCAGGACCCCUGGUAGAAGGAAUGAGCUGUGA